rnacentral:rRNA from 1 species
GUGCCAGCAGCCGCGGUAAGACGAACCGUGCGAACGUUGUUCGGAAUCACUGGGCUUAAAGGGCGCGUAGGCGGGUCUUCAAGUUUGGGGUGAAAUCCUCCGGCUCAACCGGAGAACUGCCUCGAAUACUGAAGGUCUCGAGGGGGAUAGGGGCAUGCGGAACUACGGGUGGAGCGGUGAAAUGCGUUGAUAUCCGUAGGAACUCCGGUGGCGAAGGCGGCGUGCUGGAUCCCUUCUGACGCUGAGGCGCGAAAGCCAGGGGAGCAAACGGGAUUAGAAACCCUGGUAGUCC